AGGCCGCCCCGGGCCGCGGCCCCGGGCAGCGCCAUCUUGGUGGCACACCGGCGGCGAUCACGUGCGCCUCCGAGCGCUGAUUGGCUGCCGCGCCGGAAGUGUGCUCAGGCUGGGGGUUCCGGGCUCAGCCUUGAACCCCCGCAUUUCCGUUCCCCCGGGCGGGACCGGGUCCUCCCCGGUCCAACCGGGACCGGCUCAGUCCCGGUUCUGUCCCGGCGGCCGCUGGGUGGGUGAGCCGGGACCCUCCUGCCGUUUCCCCGCGGUUUGAAACUUGCCCAGUGCUUUCCAGGAGCUGCCGCUGUCCCGGGGCGUGCGGGAGUCCAAAGAGGGGCCAAGGACAAUCUGCAAGGAAGAUGAGGAGCCUUCAUCCCUAUGGCCACUGUGAAAAACACAGAUUUUAUUAUUGGCUUUUCGCAAAUGUUACAAUGAAUAUUAUAUGUGUAAUGUUAGAAAGUGAUGCUGUGUUAAUUCUCUUAAGUGGUGUGUUAAAUAUAGUUUUAGGUUUGUGAAAAACGCCAAUUAUUUGGUUUAAAAAUUUUAAAAACCAACUGAUUGGCGUUUUUCACAAUGUAAAAAAUGCAGAUUUUAUGAUUGGCUUUUUGCAAAUGUUACAAUGAAUAUUAUGUGUGUAAUGUUAGAAAGUGAUGCUGUGUUAAUUCUCUUAAGUGCUGUGUUAAAUAUAGUUUUAGGUUUGUGAAAAACGCCAAUUACUUGGUUUAAAAAUUUUAAAAACCAACUGAUUGGCGUUUUUCACGACCACCAAAGACAGAAAAAAUAAAGACCCCCAACAACCAAUUGCACUGGCAAAGUACAUGGAAAGAAAACACGUCAACCA